GGCUUCUUCUAUGGGUACCGUCAUAAUCUUCCCCAUCGAAAGGAGUUUACAUACCAAGAAUAUGUUCAUCCUCCACGCGGCGUAGCUGCGUCAGGGUCUCUCCCCCAUUGCGCAAAAUUCCCCACUGCUUGCCUCCCGUAGGCCCCCCGUGCCCCCGCCCCGCCCGCCGCGCGCGGCAGGGCGGGGCGGGGGCACGGGGG
rnacentral:rRNA from 1 species